AUUGAACGCUGGCGGCAGGCCUAACACAUGCAAGUCGAGCGGCAGCGGGAAAGUAGCUUGCUACUUUUGCCGGCGAGCGGCGGACGGAUGAGUAAUGCCUGGGGAUCUGCCCAGUCGAGGGGGAUAACUACUGGAAACGGUAGCUAAUACCGCAUACGCCCUACGGGGGAAAGCAGGGGACCUUCGGGCCUUGCGCGAUUGGAUGAACCCAGGUGGGAUUAGCUAGUUGGUGAGGUAAUGGCUCACCAAGGCGACGAUCCCUAGCUGGUCUGAGAGGAUGAUCAGCCACACUGGAACUGAGACACGGUCCAGACUCCUACGGGAGGCAGCAGUGGGGAAUAUUGCACAAUGGGGGAAACCCUGAUGCAGCCAUGCCGCGUGUGUGAAGAAGGCCUUCGGGUUGUAAAGCACUUUCAGCGAGGAGGAAAGGUUGGUAGCUAAUAACUGCCAGCUGUGACGUUACUCGCAGAAGAAGCACCGGCUAACUCCGUGCCAGCCGCCGCGGUAA
rnacentral:rRNA from 1 species